rnacentral:rRNA from 1 species
GGGCCCGCACAAGCGGCGGAGCAUGCGGAUUAAUUCGAUGCAACGCGAAGAACCUUACCUGGGUUUGACAUGGGCGCUAAAGCCGCAGAGAUGUGGUGUCCUUCGGGGGCGUUCACAGGUGGUGCAUGGCUGUCGUCAGCUCGUGUCGUGAGAUGUUGGGUUAAGUCCCGCAACGAGCGCAACCCUCGUUCCAUGUUGCCAGCGGGUUAUGCCGGGGACUCAUGGGAGACUGCCGGGGUCAACUCGGAGGAAGGUGGGGAUGACGUCAAGUCAUCAUGCCCCUUAUGUCCAGGGCUUCACGCAUGCUACAAUGGCCGGUACAAAGGGCUGCGAUACCGCAAGGUGGAGCGAAUCCCAAAAAGCCGGUCUCAGUUCGGAUCGGGGUCUGCAACUCGACCCCGUGAAGUCGGAGUCGCUAGUAAUCGCAGAUCAGCAUUGCUGCGGUGAAUACGUUCCCGGGCCUU